rnacentral:rRNA from 1 species
AGGACGAACGCUGGCGGCGUGCUUAACACAUGCAAGUCGAGCGGAAAGGCCCUUCGGGGUACUCGAGCGGCGAACGGGUGAGUAACACGUGAGUAAUCUGCCCAUCGCUUCAGGAUAGCCAUCGGAAACGGUGAUUAAUACUGGAUAUGACAUUCCUUCGCAUGUUGGGGUGUGGAAAGUUUUUUCGGCGGUGGAUGUGCUCGCGGCCUAUCAGCUUGUUGGUGGGGUAAUGGCCUACCAAGGCUUUGACGGGUAGCCGGCCUGAGAGGGUGACCGGCCACACUGGGACUGAGACACGGCCCAGACUCCUACGGGAGGCAGCAGUGGGGAAUAUUGGACAAGUGGGCGGAAGCCUGAUCCAGCAACGCCGCGUGAGGAUGACGGCCUUCGGGUUGUAAACCGUCUUCAGCUCAGACGUAAGUUUGCUUUUUUGGUGUAAGUGACGGUAUGUGCGAGGAGAAGGACCGGCCAACGUACGUGCCAGCCAGCCGC